rnacentral:rRNA from 1 species
GAUGAACGCUGGCGGUAUGCUUAACACAUGCAAGUCGAACGGACUCUUCGGAGUUAGUGGCGGACGGGUGGUGAACGCGUGAGAAUCUGGCCUUGGGUUCGGGACAACCACUGGAAACGGUAGCUAAUACCAGAUGUGCCGAUAGGUAAAAGAGAAAUUGCCUGCAUAUGAGCUCGCGUCUGAUUAGCUAGUUGGUGAGGUAACGCCACACCAAGGCAGCGAUCAGUAGCUGGUGUGAGAGGCAGACCAGCCACACUGGGACUGAGACACGGCAGAGACUCCUGGGGGAGGGGGGAGUGGAGAAUUUUCCAAAGUGGGGGAGAGUGUGACAGAGCAGUACCGCGUGGGAGAAGAAGCUUCGUGGGGUGUAAACCUCUUUUCUUAGACAAGAACAAAAUGACGGUACCUAAUGAAUAAGCACCGGCUAACUACGUG